rnacentral:rRNA from 1 species
GAUGAACGCUGACAGAAUGCUUAACACAUGCAAGUCAACUUGAACUUCGGUUUGGGUGGCGGACGGGUGAGUAACGCGUAAAGAACUUGCCUCACAGAUAGGGACAACAUUUGGAAACGAAUGCUAAUACCUGAUAUUAUGAUUUUAGGGCAUCCUAGGAUUAUGAAAGCUAUAUGCGCUGUGAGAGAGCUUUGCGUCCCAUUAGCUAGUUGGAGAGGUAACGGCUCACCAAGGCGAUGAUGGGUAGCCGGCCUGAGAGGGUGAUCGGCCACAAGGGGACUGAGACACGGCCCUUACUCCUACGGGAGGCAGCAGUGGGGAAUAUUGGACAAUGGACCGCAAGUCUGGUCCAGCAAUUCUGUGUGCACGAUGACGUUUUUCGGAAUGUAAAGUGCUUUCAGUCGGGAAGAAGUCAGUGACGGUACCGACAGAAGAAGCGACGGCUAAAUACGUGCCAGCAGCCGCGGUAAUACGUAUGUCGCAAGCGUUAUCCGGAUUUAUUGGGCGUAAAGCGCGUCUAGGCGGCAAGGAAAGUCUGAUGUGAAAAUGCGGAGCUCAACUCCGUAUGGCGUUGGAAACUGCCUUACUAGAGUACUGGAGAGGUAGGCGGAACUACAAGUGUAGAGGUGAAAUUCGUAGAUAUUUGUAGGAAUGCCGAUGGGGAAGCCAGCCUACUGGACAGAUACUGACGCUAAAGCGCGAAAGCGUGGGUAGCAAACAGG